rnacentral:rRNA from 1 species
UACGAAGGGGGCUAGCGUUGUUCGGAAUUACUGGGCGUAAAGGGCGCGUAGGCGGCGUGUCAAGUCAGGCGUGAAAGCCCCGGGCUCAACCUGGGAACCGCGCUUGAGACUGGCAUGCUCGAGUUCGGGAGAGGGUGGUGGAAUUCCCAGUGUAGAGGUGAAAUUCGUAGAUAUUGGGAAGAACACCGAUGGCGAAGGCAGCCAUCUGGACCGACACUGACGCUGAGGCGCGAAAGCGUGGGGAGCAAACAGG